rnacentral:lncRNA from 1 species
GGCUCGCUCCGCUCCACCAAGCUGGGAUCCAGUCAGUGCCCCGCCUCCAGUGUUCUUCUGGGUCUGCCCUGCUCAAAGCUGCAGUUACAGACACGGGUAGGAAGCCCGACUUGUUAGGUGGCUGCUGGGACCUGAACUCAAUUCCCUGUGACUGCUCGGCAAACAUCUGUAACACCGAGGACACCUCAGCAGCCCCAUGCUUUGGUUCCGGUUUUGUCUACCUUUUUAAAAGCCUGGUGGUGGUGGUGCACACCUUUAAUCCUUGCACUCAGGAGUCAGAAGCAGGCGGAUUUCUGAAUUCGAGGACAGCCUGGUCUACAGCGUGAGCUCCAAGACAGCCAAGGCUACCUACAGAGACCCUGUCUUGAAAACGAAAACAACGAAACAAAAAGAUGUAUUUGCUCUAUUCU